CCUACGGGCGGCAGCAGUGAGGCAUAUUGGUCAAUGGACGAGAGUCUGAACCAGCCAAGUAGCGUGAAGGAUGACUGCCCUAUGGGUUGUAAACUUCUUUUAUAUGGGAAUAAAAUGUUCCACGUGUGGGAUUUUGUAUGUACCAUAUGAAUAAGGAUCGGCUAACUCCGUGCCAGCAGCCGCGGUAAUACGGAUGAUCCGAGCGUUAUCCGGAUUUAUUGGGUUUAAAGGGAGCGUAGGUGGAUUGUUAAGUCAGUUGUGAAAGUUUGCGGCUCAACCGUAAAAUUGCAGUUGAAACUGGCAGUCUUGAGUACAGUAGAGGUGGGCGGAAUUCGUGGUGUAGCGGUGAAAUGCUUAGAUAUCACGAAGAACUCCGAUUGCGAAGGCAGUUCACUGGACUGCAACUGACACUGAGGCUCGAAAGUGUGGGUAUCAAACAGGAUUAGAUACCCUUGUAGUC
rnacentral:rRNA from 1 species